rnacentral:rRNA from 1 species
UACGGGGGGGGCAAGCGUUGUUCGGAAUUACUGGGCGUAAAGGGCUCGUAGGUGGCCAACUAAGUCAGACGUGAAAUCCCUCGGCUUAACCGGGGAACUGCGUCUGAUACUGGAUGGCUUGAAUUCGGGAGAGGGAUGCAGAAUUCCAGGUGUAGCGGUGAAAUGCGUAGAUAUCUGGAGGAAUACCGGUGGCGAAGGCGGCAUCCUGGACCGAGAUUGACACUGAUGAGCGAAAGCGAGGGGAGCAAACGGG